GCAACCAACAUCUUAGGUUUUUGUUCAGUCUAUUUUGUUAUCAUCAGCAUCUAUCCUUCCCUUUGUAUUCUCAUAAGUUAUUUUUACAAUUUUCUUCUAGGGGACUUGAUACAAGUUUGGGGUUGGGACAUGUCUUUGCCAGUGGACCAAAGGACAACACCAGUAGCACCAGAUAUCUACUGUGUACCGCAUGCUUCAUGUUUGCCAUCUCAAUUAAUCUUCAUAAUAACCUCAUAAAGAAGAGACUUAAACCCUCAUUUUACAGGUGGUGAUGUUAUUCCUCCAAGAAGAUAAAACCAUAGAAUAUAAGGACUGAAUUCAUCUUGGAGGUAGUCUAAUCCAGCUUUCUUCUUUCUAUAGUUCAGGCAAAUUAGGCCUUUGCAAGGUUAUCCAAAGUCAAGCACACCUGCUUAAGGGCAAAUGAGUGACCACAGGACAAAUCUUCUGGCUCUUCCAUGACACCAACCGAAAGCAACAGUGAACACUCAUUUAUGGUGUAAUAAAAACCAAAUUCAAAGUCCA